UUGUGGUGAUUGCUCAGGAUCCCAGAACUCUGGAGGCUGAGGCGACAUAUUGAGAUUCUGUGUCAACAAAAGAGAAGAAGGAAAAAAAAACGAAGGAGAGAAACAAAGAGUAAGAAGAGAGAGUGGACCAAUGGAGGAACAGAGGAGACAAAAGAAGGCAAAUUAUAGACUGGGAGGAAGAACUUGCAGAGUACCUGAAAAAGGUGCACAGGGAAGAUGUAAAGCUCGUGCAAAGCUCAGCAUCAAAAACAGAGCAACCCAAGGAGCAAAUGAGGAAAAGAUGUCCAUGUAGUUUUGAAGAGGUUUAUGGAGAACAAGCACCCAAAAGAUGUUCAUCAACAUUAGACCUCAGGGAGAGGCAAAUGAAAGCCACAGCGAGCCACAGCUCCCAGAUGGAGAACAGGAAAAACAGCAAGGAGGCUGAAGACAUGGUUCAGCAGAGCACUUGUGAGAGAGCAUCGGGACGGAGAAGUUGCUUGUAGCUAAGGAUUCAGCAUGAUGAAGGCGGCGUGGGCAUGUCUCUAGAGGAAGGGCACGGGGGACCUCGUGACAACGACUGCUGUGGGAUGUUCUGUAUGGCAAAUGUGUUGCUAAUUAGUCAAUAAAUAAAACACUGAUUGGCCAUUGGCUAGGCAGGAAGUGUAGGCGGGACAAGGAGGAGAAUAAAGCUGGGAAGUGGAAGGCUGAGUCAGAGAGACACUGCCAGCCACCACGAUGAGAAACAGCAUGUGAAGAUGCCGGUAAGCCACGAGCCAUGUGGCAAGGUAUAGAUUAAUGGAAAUGGAUUAAUUUAAGCUGUAAGAACAGUUAGCAAGAAGCCUGCCACGGCCAUACAGUUUGUAACCAAUAUAAGUCUCUGUGUUUACUUGGUUGGGUUUGAGCGGCUGUGGGACUGG